rnacentral:rRNA from 1 species
CAUCCAUGCAGUCGAGCGGAACGAGUUAUCUGAACCUUCGGGGAACGAUAACGGCGUCGAGCGGCGGACGGGUGAGUAAUGCCUAGGAAAUUGCCCUGAUGUGGGGGAUAACCAUUGGAAACGAUGGCUAAUACCGCAUGAUGCCUACGGGCCAAAGAGGGGGACCUUCGGGCCUCUCGCGUCAGGAUAUGCCUAGGUGGGAUUAGCUAGUUGGUGAGGUAAGGGCUCACCAAGGCGACGAUCCCUAGCUGGUCUGAGAGGAUGAUCAGCCACACUGGAACUGAGACACGGUCCAGACUCCUACGGGAGGCAGCAGUGGGGAAUAUUGCACAAUGGGCGCAAGCCUGAUGCAGCCAUGCCGCGUGUGUGAAGAAGGCCUUCGGGUUGUAAAGCACUUUCAGUCGUGAGGAAGGUAGUGUAGUUAAUAGCUGCAUUAUUUGACGUUAGCGACAGAAGAAGCACCGGCUAACUCCGUGCCAGCAGCCGCGGUAAUACGGAGGGUGCGAGCGUUAAUCGGAAUUACUGGGCGUAAAGCGCAUGCAGGUGGUUUGUUAAGUCAGAUGUGAAAGCCCGGGGCUCAACCUCGGAAUAGCAUUUGAAACUGGCAGACUAGAGUACUGUAGAGGGGGGUAGAAUUUCAGGUGUAGCGGUGAAAUGCGUAGAGAUCUGAAGGAAUACCGGUGGCGAAGGCGGCCCCCUGGACAGAUACUGACACUCAGAUGCGAAAGCGUGGGGAGCAAACAGGAUUAGAUACCCUGGUAGUCCACGCCGUAAACGAUGUCUACUUGGGAGGUUGUGGCCUUGAGCCGUGGCUUUCGGAGCUAACGCGUUAAGUAGACCGCCUGGGGGAGUACGGUCGCAAGAUUAAAACUCAAAUGAAUUGACGGGGGCCCGCACAAGCGGUGGAGCAUGUGGUUUAAUUUCGAUGCAACGCGAAGAACCUUACCUACUCUUGACAUCCAGAGAACUUUCCAGAGGAUGGAUUGGUGCCUUCGGGAACUCUGAGACAGGUGCUGCAUGGCUGUCGUCAGCUCGUGUUGUGAAAUGUUGAAUCAGUCCCGCAACGAGCGCAACCCGUGAUCCUUGUUU